AAAACUUCAAACCCUCACCUUUCUUGCAGAGUGAAACUUGAGAAAUGUACCUCCUCAUAUUAAAUACCCUCCUGUUCUGCUAGGAGGUGGGCCUCAAGACAUGCUUCAUAAUAAUGGUUCUGGGAGAGACCAAGGGAAGUUUUCUGGGGGCCAGCGCUCACGCUGGUAAUGAAAGGAACACGUUGAAUUACAAAUACUGAUGCCUCAUCUUUCCCGAGAAGAUGCUGUGACUGAGCUGUACAAAUCAAACCUUUAUUUCUAAGAGAAGUGGCUGGUAUAAGAGAGAGGUGUAAAUAGGUAGUUAGUAAGUUGAGUGUCUUGGUCUUGACCGAAGGUUAGUGCCAAGAAAAUUGUCAGUAAUGAGACCCAAGGAGCCAUGCAUGUGUAGCUCACUCAAAAGGAGCCUAAAGAAAUCAGCAGCAAAAGUCUGGGGGAAAGCGCUAUCUAGAUACAUGUUCUGACUUGCAGGCGCUAUUUCCAGCCACAUUUGGCUUUCAUUUACAAAUCCUGCUUUGCACAUGGGGUCUGUCUCACAGGUGUAGUGUGUUCCAGACAGCAGAGAUCAAACAAAAUUGGAUAAAUCUGCCUAUUGAGACUUAACACAUGAUGUGUGCUGGAAGAUAUGAUACAACACCUUUGGUUCUCUGUAGUUAUUCAUGAGUUGGAACAUACUCUUAUUUAAAGAGGUUCACUGAAAAAACUGUUUUUUUACUUUGUUCUAGCCUAACACUUGCCUUCAAACAACUGGGGGGGAUUUUCCCUGUAGCAGCAACAGUUUAUAUGAGCUGUGACCUCUCAGGAGCUGUGAGACUUGUUUGGGCACUCCAGAAAGUGCUGUCAUAGUGCCAGGACCAGACCUCAGGGCUGUCUGAAAUGUUGAGAUGGGCUGUCAGAAGACUGUAAAUACAAUGUCCAGACCCCUAAAGACUGGAUAGAUGUGGUUAUACUGCUGCAGUAAAUGCUGCCCUUCCGCAGGUGAUCAAACCUAGAAUCUGGAUAAACAAAGUAAUGCACAAGUGUGCUAGAGGGGAAAGCAGCUACAACAAGCAGCAGUUUCUCAGAUCAACUCCGGAAAGAAAACCAGUGUCUACCACUAUUUGAGGGACCUCAGGAUGUAGCAGACAUUCACACAGUACAUCCACAAGACAACACCCCUUUGGAAGACCUGGGUCCUUCUGGAGUGGCAAAUUAAGGUGCAGCAGGAUGCCUUGCUGAACAUUAUACAAAAAGCAGUAUGUGUCUAAU